rnacentral:rRNA from 1 species
UACGUAGGGAGCAAGCGUUGUUCGGAUUUACUGGGCGUAAAGGGCGCGUAGGCGGCUCGGCACGUCCGUUGUGAAAUCGCCCGGCUCAACUGGGCGGGGUCAGCGGAUACGGUCGAGCUUGAGCAAGCUAGGGGGUAAUGGAAUUCCCGGUGUAGUGGUGGAAUGCGUAGAUAUCGGGAGGAACACCAGUGGCGAAGGCGGUUACCUGGGGCUUUGCUGACGCUGAUGCGCGAAAGCGUGGGGAGCGAUCCGG